rnacentral:lncRNA from 1 species
UCUUUGUGCUUUAGGGCAUUAGGCAUUAAGCAUGUAUUGAUUGGCACAGACCAUGGCAAAACAUACCUUAAAGUUAAAAGGUAAAUAUGCAAAGUGCAAAAGUAAAAUGUCAGAGAUUCGAAGAAGAAAGCGUAACAAUUACCCUCUCAUGUGAACUGGGUACCACCCUUCUUAUUUACAGUACAUCCCUAAGAAGCAUCUGCGCACUUAGAGAGAGAGAGCACUUCAAGAAUGAGAGUAUUUGGAGAGAGAGAAAAUAGUUAGAGAGAGAGAAAGCACUUAGAAUGAAAGGAGAGAGAGAAUAUUUAGAGAGAGAGAGCACUUCAAGACUGAGAGUAUUUGGAGAGAUAGAGAGGAAUUUACAGAGAGAAAGAGAGCACUUCAAGAAUAAGAGUAUUUGGAGAGAUAGAGAGAGAGUAUUUGGC